rnacentral:misc_RNA from 1 species
GAUGAAAACGCAGCGAAAUGCGAUAAGUAAUGUGAAUUGCAGAAUUCAGUGAAUCAUCGAAUCUUUGAACGCACAUUGCGCCCGCCAGUAUUCUGGCGGGCAUGCCUGUUCGAGCGUCAUUACAACCCUCAGGCCCCCGGGCCUGGCGUUGGGGAUCGGCGGAAGCCCCCUGUGGGCACACGCCGUCCCUCAAAUACAGUGGCGGUCCCGCCGCAGCUUCCAUUGCGUAGUAGCUAACACCUCGCAACUGGAGAGCGGCGCGGCCAUGCCGUAAAACACCCAACUUCUGAAUGUUGACCUCGAAUCAGGUAGGAAUACCCGCUGAACUUAAGCAUAUCAAUAAGCGGAGGA